rnacentral:ncRNA from 2 species
GCCUAGGCUUCCCUUGAUGGUUCUUGCUCGAAGAGAUUUGAGCGGGAUGAAAAGGGAAUACGGUGAGGCGUAGCCAGAAGGCACCAAACCCGUAACUGCCCCCGCAACUGUAAGCGGCGAGCGUUUCCGAAGAACACCACUGAAUGAACCCCGCUCCAAUGAGUGAGGCGAUUUUGGGAAGGUUCGGAUACGCUGUGACCCGCAAGUCAGGAGACCUGCCAUCGUGAUUUCACUCAA